rnacentral:rRNA from 1 species
GAUGAACGCUGGCGGCGUGCCUAAUACAUGCAAGUCGAGCGAACGGACGAGAAGCUUGCUUCUCUGAUGUUAGCGGCGGACGGGAGAGUCACACGUGGAUAACCUACCUAUCAGACUGGGAUAACUUCGGGACACCGGAGCUUAUACCGGAUGAUAUUUUGCACCGCGUGGUUCAAAAGUGAAAUACGGUCUUGCUGUCACUUAUAGCUGGCUCCGCGCUGCAUUAGCUAGUUGGUAAGGUAACGGCUUACCAAGGCAACGAUGCAUAGCCGACCUGAGGGGGUGGUCGGCCACCUGGGAAGUGAGACACGGUCCAGACUCCUACGGGAGGCAGCAGUAGGGAAUCUUCCGCAAGGGGCGAGAGCCUGACGGAGCAACGCGGCGUGAGUGAUGAAGGUGUUCGGAUCGGAAAACUCUGUUAUUAGUGGAGAACAUAUGUGUAAGUAACCGUGCAGAUAUUGACGGUACCGAAUCAGAAAGCAACGGCUAACUACGUG